rnacentral:rRNA from 1 species
UACAGAGACGUCGAGCGUUGUUCGGAUUCAUUGGGCGUAAAGGGUGCGUAGGCGGUCGGGUAAGUCGGAUGUGAAAUCCCAGAGCUUAACUCUGGAAGGGCAUCCGAAACUACCCGGCUGGAGGACUGGAAGGGAGACUGGAAUUCUCGGUGUAGCGGUGAAAUGCGUAGAUAUCGAGAGGAACACCCGUGGCGAAGGCGGGUCUCUGGACAGUUCCUGACGCUGAGGCACGAAAGCCAGGGGAGCAAAC